UACAGUUUCCAUAAUGAAUGAAAGACAUAUAGUCACAAGUGGCAUCGUUUUUUCUAUUUAUGGACUUGAAUGGAUGAAUAUACAGAAUGAAAAUCUGUGGGUACCAAUGAAAUAUGUUCUGUUAUGUGAAAGAUCACCAUCUCUUCUACUCCAUCAACAUUGAAUUUGGACACACGUUUGGAUGUCUUCCGGUAGACACCAGUGACCAAUGCAUUUUCACCUCACUUUGAUUUACUGUGUCACAUGACAAUGUAGAAAAACAAGCAUGAAAACAGUGAUUCAGUUUUCUGGCUUGAAAUACACAUUUUGCCAGAAUAUAAGGCUACUUGCCUGUUUAAAAUUUUAAGUGUCGUUUUAUAAAAUAAUAAAUUUAGCUGCUUUUUUACUGCGCAAAUGACACAUUCAUGUGUGCUUAAAACAAGCAGGACACAUGACACUGCAGUCGAGACUUCAGGGAAAUAAACCCACUCAGUCCUCGCGGUGCCAGGCAUACCCACUGCCACUGUACCUCCCCCUUCUCAUCUAUAUAAAGCCUCUGUCUGGCAGUGACAGUCUGUCACAGAAAUGGACACUGGGGUGAGAAUGAAGCGGGGAAAAAUAAGCUUUAGUUGCGACAGUGGACUUCUACUUUGUCACUAGUUUUGACUGUACCUCAUAUCUGAAGAAGCUGAAGAGUCACACGUUUCAGUGGGUCCAAGAGUUGCAUCCUUGGCCUAAUAACAACACCGUAGCUUCAUACAAACGUCAAAACCUUGCAGGCUAGUAGUUUUCAAAUGCCUCUAUGAGUGUCGCCACACAUACUGGAGAGUAAGAGGCGAUAACUGAGGAUGGCUGUGCAGAGGUUACAAAAGCCACAUCUGUCGACAGAAAGACGGGGAACUGGAGCAGCCACCGGUUGGCUCAGUUUCUGUCAGACUGCUUCAGAUCCUGUCUGAUGGGUUUUAGGUGCUCAAGAAACUCUUUUGGUGGUAGAAGUAGUAGGCUACAAUGGGUAAGUAGCAUGGGAGUCAUGGGUGUUUACCAACAGGUAGUCACAAUACUGUCCCUUUUUUUCCUUUGAGGAGUGACUGAUUUUUAAAAUCACACACAAGCCAUGAGGGUUGAUUUAACUGGGCUGAAUUUGCGCAUUUGACUGUUCACCUGCAUUAUUGGGUAAUAACAAGAUAAGAAGCGCCAUGAGUCAUUCCAGCCAGAGAUGGCGAUGAUGCCGAGCAUUGUCCUACACAGAGAAGAUUUGUCACAUACAGCUCUAAUGGGGAGCUUCACAAAUACACGACGCAAAUGUAAUUCCUCGUACAUAUAGGUGCAGCUUGACUUUCAGGGUUUACAGUGGCAAAUGCAAAACAAUUAAUUUCCCUGUACGAGAGGCCACAAUACCCUGGUCACAGCCCCCAGCCCGUGACAGGCGGUGUAGCUUGCAGCAUGCGAUCCUGAAUGCCCAUGUUUAAAGCUCUACAUUUGACUGUUCUGCUGGAGUUUACACUUGGAGAAUUCCCAGGAAAAUUCCCAGUUGGUCUGACUAAUUAGAUUUUGGCUCCAUGAAGCCCCCCCAUUCAAGGUUUAGAGUUUCA